AGACUAUCCACGUCCAAUAAGGGAUGUUUUAAUGUCUCCAGCCAUUCGAAUAAUAAUCCUGAGAGGACAUCCAAGUCAGUUUCCAUCUGGAGCCUCUGCCAAGCUGUAGAUCUAUGAUUUAGAUCCAUCUAAAAAUCCACGUAAAAUGGCAUUAUCUCUGAUCAAAACUCUGAUGGCUUCGUCAGUGGUCACAGUUUGAAGAGUUGUAUUUUGAGCAGCAGCUUUUAAAUUCAUAUGAGAUUGAAUUUCCUUGUAACAAUUAUUGUCUACGAGAUCUUGUCCGUGAAUUCCAUCACCAAGAACAUCAUCCAUGCAACUAUCAUCUAAUACUAUAAAAAAAAAAAAAAAUAUUCCUUAUAAUACUUUGAAUCUCAGUUUCUCAGUUUAAAUCUUUUACUGAUUAAAUAACUUUAUUUCAGGUUGGACUACCUGGGAACACCGAAUCGCAAGAUGGAGUAUCAGGAGAGGUGCAGAACACAUCACUCAAUCUACCAAUAUCGUCCGAGGUACCUCUCGAAGAUGCUUGGCUGCCACUUGCACACGCUUUUAUAGAACCUAGACGAAAUCAAGAAUAAAUGGAAAAUUUUCAAACCCUCCGUGAUCUCGUAUUAAUCGUAUUAAAAAUUUUGUUUCUCUUUCGAUUUCUUACUGGAAUAGUCGUAAGAGUCAGCUAGAGACUCGGCCCAGGAAUAAGAGUGUCUAAUAUUCCCUUUACUGUCCCUCAGCUUUUCCAAAAUGUGAGAUAUAAAUUUUUGCGUGAAAGGCGUACUGGAGAUCGUAUACUUGAUCUCACAGGGAGAAUUAUCUUCUUGACAAUCGCACAGUUGAAGAAUCCGUUCGCAAAUCACGAACACGAUCUAAGGGAUUAAUUAAUUUCGUAAAUUUAAUGACAGAGAACCUCGCCUCGUCCCUCGAUUGAACACGUUUUGCAUCUUAUAAUUAAGAAAGAUAAAAAGAAACCUUUGGAAUAUGUUUGAAUGUGCGUUGCUCGUAUCCGUGCAAAACGUUGUGCUGCUUUUUGAGACACGAUUGCAGGCUGCAAGGCUUGCGAUCCCCUAUCGUGCUGUUCAAAGGGAAAACUAUCAUCUGUGGAAGCACAAAGUGCUCGAAAUCUUGGAUGCAUAGUAUCUGUCCACGCGUCUGGAUCGCGGAUGGCCGUUUCAUGCGAACGAACCGUAUCGCAUCGUUCGCUCGCACACGAAGACUGUAAAUAAGGUAGCACGCGAUCAGAACCCCGGUUCUGCCCAACCCUGAAAAAGAUACGUGUCCUAUAAAUUUGUCUGAACUUUGUACGAUUAAUUGCUUAGUCGACAAAUUUCCACGUAGCGUAGCGAUUGUCUCAGAUCCACGGUUAUUUGAACCGCUAUCAUUAUUUAAUCAUCAAUUUUUACCCCGUGGAAACAAAUCUAUGAUAUAGAAAAUAUUCCAUUUUUUAGAAAUACAAUCCAUUUAAUAUAUUUUUAUUAUUUUUCUACAUUCGUUUAUUUUUUCUUCUUUUUUAACGCGUUACAUUUCGUUGAAAAAUUUAAAUUUAUCUUGAAUUACUUAUUGUAUUCAUGAUGCAACAUCUCGAGUCCCGCACACAUUUGAGAAUUGAAAUAUUUAAUUGCUUAAAGGAUAGAUAAGGUCUCGGGUGUCUAUCGAUCGUGCCUAAUUCGAGAAAUAAAUUAUUCUGCUCGUGCUCUAACCGUGAAUCGGAAGCGGAACUUGUAAUCGUAGCCAACUGUGUUUCCGGGGUUAACAAGAGUUAUGACGUAUCCGACGAAUAAUCACUCGAUAAUAACCAUAAGCCGUUUCGUUUCGUUGGUGAACGUCCAUUUCUGGCCAAUCUGCGUAUCCACGAUGCGUAAUUAAGUUGGUGAGUCAUGCACACGCGAGGUACGCGCGGAAUUUUGGCUAUUCAAUUAAAUUGUCGCUUGAUAACGCUAUCGGGGAAUUGGUUGGUCAAAGAAUUUGAUCGCGAUAAACGUUCGACGCACAAAAGAAAUCGCGAAAGUAAAAUCAUUCCAAUUGCAAAAUUGUAUUUGGCCGAUUAUAUUCGUGUUUCUUUGUUAUAUUCCCGUUCACAGAUAGAAUUUUUAGAAAGAAAUGAAAUUAAAGAAUUUAUUAUUUAGGAAGGUUAUAAAUUAACGUAAUAAUACAAUAGAAAUCGAUUAAUUAUACAUUUUAAAUGAUGUUUUUCCUCUCUUUACAUCUCUUCCAUCUUUCGAUUCCUAUCUUAAUCAAUAUUGAUGUUUAUAUUGUUAUCUCUCUACCUGUUAUUCGCUGUCACGCGUUUUAAAAAUAGAUUAUAUUGAAAAUAGAUUACCUGUAUCUGAUUAAAUCCUUUAUCUAAUUAAUCUUAAAUUUAUAAUCGGAAAAUUAAUUAUUCAAAGUUAUUUAAUUAAUUUUCUAUAUUUAACUGUUCCUGUUAAUAUUUCUAUUUAUUUUUCAAUAAUUGUAUGGAUAUCGUACUUUUCGAAUGUCUUAAUAUUUACGAACGGGAGAGUAUAUUAUUCAGAAACAAAGUAACUUCGUGCGCAUAAUAACAAGUCUCGCAAGUAGAUCGAUUGUCAGAUGCGAGGAAAAUAUGAAGAAUAUGAAGAAAAUGUAACUUUUAUGAUCAUUAAAUAUUCAUUGCUUGCAGGCUCUUUAUUAUGGAAUAAACGAAUCGAUCGUAAGUUGCGUCGAGAUUUUCGAAUCUUUUAAAACAAUCGUUCGACGAUACGAUUUUGUCCCUCGUAUUCUCGAAGAAUAUUUUUAGAGAAACUUUCAGGGUUGAAAGAUAUAUAAAUAUAUAUAUAUAUAUAUAUAUCUUGAAAUAGGAUUGGUAAAUGUUACAAACCUCGAUGUUACGCCCCAAUUUCUUAUCACCGCCUAUCCAUUAUUCGUGUCCGUAAAUUUUGUUAAAGAAUUGAAACUGAAGAACCUUUAUGGUAGAGAAACACGCUUCCAUCCAAUUAGUCAUGGAAUCACGAGGAAAAGAGAGUGUUAAGUAUAUUGUUGGAUAUCUUCUGUUUAUUUCAAAAAAUAGUUCGAAUAUUUUAUCUUUUCUUUUUUUUUCUAUCAACAGGAAAGUUUCUCGUGCAACUUUCACGUUAAAAACGUGACCCUCUUUUAUAAUAGCCGAAUAACCUGCCAGUUCACCCUUCGUAUUUGCAUAUGUAACAGUGUUGAGGCUAUUGUAGCCAUAGUGAAAUAAACAAGUAUAAGUUUGA